rnacentral:lncRNA from 1 species
GAGCCUCUUCCCCAGACUUCAGCAGGAACGGUAUCUUCCCACAGGUGUGGUGAGAACUGCUUGAGCUGUGCAGGCUCCAGCAGGAACUGUAGCAGGUGUAAGACGGGCUUCACACAGCUGGGGACCUCCUGCAUCACCAACCACACGUGCAGCAACGCUGACGAGACAUUCUGCGAGAUGGUGAAGUCCAACCGGCUGUGCGAACGGAAGCUCUUCAUUCAGUUCUGCUGCCGCACGUGCCUCCUGGCCGGGUAAGGGUGUCUAGCUGCCCACAGAGGGCAGGCACUCCCAUCCAUCCAUCCGUCCACUUUCCUCCAGACUGUCGGCCAGAGUCUGUUUCAGGAGCGGCGCCCUGCACCUGACAGCUUUAUCUCGCCAGGAGCAGCAUCUCUGGGCACCCAAGCCAGGUGGGUGGUGGCUCUUAAGGAGGUGUUCCUACAAUGGUGACAUCCUCUCAAAUGCUGCUUGUUGGCUCCAGUCUUCUGACAAACUGUAACAGGAACAAAAUGAAUUCUGGGAAUCCACAGCUCUGGCUUUGGAGCAGCUUCUGGGACCAUAAGUUUACUGAAUCUUCAAGACCAAAGCAGAAAAGAAAGGCGCUUGGCAUCACACAUCACUCUUCUCCCCGUGCUUUUCUGCGGCUGUGUAGUAAAUCUCCCCGGCCCAGCUGGCAAACCCUGGGCCAUCCUCACAUGUGACAAAGGGCCAGCAGUCUACCUGCUCGUUGCCUGCCACUGAGCAGUCUGGGCACGGUUUGGUCAGACUAUAAAUAAGAUAGGUUUGAGGGCAUAAAAUGUAUGACCACUGGGGCCGGAGUAUCUAUUUCUACAUAGUCAGCUACUUCUGAAACUGCAGCAGUGGCUUAGAAAGUCCAAUUCCAAAGCCAGACCAGAAGAUUCUAUCCCCGCAGCAUUCUCCUUUGAGCAAGCCGAGCUCUCCUUGUUACCGUGUUCUGUCUGUGUCUUCAGGAGUCUCAUGGCCUGAACGACCACCUCGACCUGAUGCAGAGCCUUCUGAGGAGGGGCAACAGGAGGCAUUCUGUGGCCAGCCAAAAGGUACCCCGAUGGCCAAGCAAUUCCUCUGAACAAAAUGUAAAGCCAGCCAUGCAUUGUUAAUCAUCCAUCACUUCCCAUUUUAUGGAAUUGCUUUUAAAAUACAUUUGGCCUCUGCCCUUCAGAAGACUCGUUUUUAAGGUGAAAGCUCCUGUGUCUGUGUAUAUUACGAGCCUACAUGACACAGUUGGAUUUAUUCUGCCAAACCUGUGUAGGCAUUUUAUAAGCUACAUGUUCUAAUUUUUACCGAUGUUAAUUAUUUUGACAAAUAUUUCAUAUAUUUUCAUUGAAAUGCACAGAUCUGCUUGAUCAAUUCCCUUGAAUAGGGAAGUAACAUUUGCCUUAAAUUUUUUCGACCUCAUCUUUCUCCAUAUUGUCCCGCUCCCCUGUUUGACGACAGUGCAUUUGCCUUGUCACCUGUGAGCUGGAGAGAACCCAGAUGUUGUUUAUUGAAUCUACAACUCUGAAAGAGAAAUCAAUGAAGCAAGUACAAUGUUAACCCUAAAUUAAUAAAAGAGUUAACAUCCCAUGG